GAUGAACGCUGGCGGCGUGCCUAAUACAUGCGAGUCGAGCGAACAGACGAGGAGCUUGCUCCUCUGACGUUAGCGGCGGACGGGUGAGUAACACGUGGAUAACCUACCUAUAAGACUGGGAUAACUUCGGGAAACCGGAGCUAAUACCGGAUAAUAUAUUGAACCGCAUGGUUCAAUAGUGAAAGACGGUUUUGCUGUCACUUAUAGAUGGAUCCGCGCCGCAUUAGCUAGUUGGUAAGGUAACGGCUUACCAAGGCAACGAUGCGUAGCCGACCUGAGAGGGUGAUCGGCCACACUGGAACUGAGACACGGUCCAGACUCCUACGGGAGGCAGCAGUAGGGAAUCUUCCGCAAUGGGCGAAAGCUUGACGGAGCAACGCCGCGUGAGUGAUGAAGGUCUUCGGAUCGUAAAACUCUGUUAUUAGGGAAGAACAAAUGUGUAUGUAACUAUGCACGUCUUGACGGUACCUAAUCAGAAAGCCACGGCUAACUACGUG
rnacentral:rRNA from 1 species